GACGAACGCUGGCGGCGUGCUUAACACAUGCAAGUCGAGCGGAAAGGCCCUUCGGGGUACUCGAGCGGCGAACGGGUGAGUAACACGUGAGUAACCUGCCCCAGACUUUGGGAUAACCCUCGGAAACGGGGGCUAAUACCGGAUACGACACAGCUUCGCAUGGGGUCUGUGUGGAAAGUUUUUCGGUUUGGGAUGGGCUCGCGGGCUAUCAGCUUGUUGGUGGGGUGAUGGCCUACCAAGGCGACGACGGGUAGCCGGCCUGAGAGGGGGACCGGCCACACGGGGACUGAGACACGGCACAGACUACUGCGGGAGGCAGCAGUGGGGAUUAUUGCACAAUGGGCGGAAGCCGGAUGAAGCGACGCGGCGUGAGGGAUGACGGCCUUCGGGUGGUAAACCUCUUUCAGCAGGGACGAAGCGUAAGUGACGGUACCUGCCGAAGAAGCGCCGGCCAACUACGUG
rnacentral:rRNA from 1 species